AUUGGCAUUGGGAUGCCAUGCACGCAUUGCUGCGCCAAGAACACAACUUGGGUUGCCAGAGCUUAGCCUUGGAGUUCUUCCUGGCUCUGGAGGUACACAACGACUUCCAAGGCUUAUAGGGUUGUCAAAGGCUAUUGAUAUGAUGAUGACAUCCAAACCAAUAAUGUCAGAAGAGGGGGAGAAGCUAGGUCUUAUUGAUGCAGUUGUCCCUUCCAAAGAGUUGUUAAAAGUAGCUAGACAGUGGGCCCUUGAUAUUGCAGAAAGGCGCAAACCUUGGAUGCGUGCCCUUCACAGGACUGACAAAAUUGGUUCCCUUUCAGAA
rnacentral:misc_RNA from 1 species